UUGACCGCGAGCAUUUAAAGCGACAGUGCGCGCUAAUAAUAAACUGACCAUAUAGUCCGUUGGUGUGGACAAUCGUUAGCGUAGUUAGCCUAUGUAUAAUCGUCCUUGGUGUGAACGGAUCUUAAAAUAUGUGGUGUAGGCCUAUGUUAUCUCACUUGAAGAGACAUGCACGUUUUUUUAAAGCAUAAAUGAUACUUUUUGAAGUGGCCCCUGACGGUUAUGUUUGCUAAAACGGCUGCUAACGGUUUUUCGACAGUCUGCUCUCUUAUAAAGUUCAGUGGUCAUCAGAAGCUUCUGCAGGGUGCUGAAGAUCAAUGUGGACAGGUGUGUUACAGCUGCUCCUCUGGUUAAUGGUCUUCAUCAGCGUCUCCCAGGGUCUGCUGAGUAACGGGAAGGAGCUGAAGGAGGAGCUCGGGAGACAUUUGCUUCUCCAUCAGUUCAGCUGCUCUUCUCACACCAGCUGCUGGAGGACGGAGAGGAGGAAGACAGAGUGGGAGCGACAGAUGAGUGAAAGAAAACAAAAAGACCUUCUCAAAUAAAGCCUUGCCCAAUAUGGACACUUAAGCAUGUCUGGAUUACUGCAUUAGAUAUCCAACCAAUUGGCAUCUGCAAGCAAAUGCAGCCAAAACUUUUCUGAACCAUCUGUGUACGAUAUUAAAUUUGAUAAACUAGUGUUGGUGAUGCAUGAAGUCAGCUGAACAGUCCAUUAAUGACAAACACAAAUGAGCUUCAUUUUGAAUGUUAUAUCUAUAGUUUUAUCUUUUUGUGAAAUGUGCAUGUGCUUCUAUAAAAUGGUCACCUUAAUGCAACUUUUUGCCUGCUCAAAAUUCAAUAUAAAGACACAAUUUUGCAUAAAAUCCAGACUUAUCAAAGCAUAGAUAUAACUACUGAAUAAAUGCAUUUAUGCCACUUCAGAAGCGCUUCUGUGUCACAUUUGCAGAGUAAAUUUGGCUUAAUUUGAUAUUUUAUCUAAUGCAAUGAUGUUCAGACAUCUUAGAGUGUGGCC